rnacentral:rRNA from 1 species
UACGUAGGGGGCUAGCGUUGUCCGGAAUCAUUGGGCGUAAAGCGCGUGUAGGCGGUCCGGUAAGUCCGCUGUGAAAGUCGGGGGCUCAACCCUCGGAUGCCGGUGGAUACUGUCGGGCUUGAGUACGGAAGAGGCGAGUGGAAUUCCUGGUGUAGCGGUGAAAUGCGCAGAUAUCAAGGAGGAACACCAAUUGCGAAGGCAGCUCGCUGGGACGUUACUGACGCUGGAGACGCGAAAGCGUGGGAGCAAACAGG